ensembl:lncRNA
AUGGUUUUAGCUGAAAAUGAUACACAUAUUGUUGCUUUCAUGCAUUAAUGAGUAACUUUAUCAAUAUGAACGGAUGUGUUAAAUCUUUUGAUGAAUGUGGCAGUGUUCUCUCUCAGAUGUGUCGAAGGAGUUACUGUGAGUGAGCGAGUGUAAUCCAGUGUGUGUGUGUGUGUGUGUGUGUGUGUGUGUGUGUGUGUGUGUGUGUCUAAUAACUUAAUCCUGAGAGACUGGGAGCACUAACCUCCCCCUGUAUAGUCUUCUGGUGAAAUACAGUUACUUUUCUCAUUUCGGCAUGGAUUGUAUGCCACAGAAUGAAACUAACACAACAUGUGGAAGCUUUACAGCUACCCUGUGAUGUGCUGUGGAGGUGUUUAUAGAAUAUACUUAUUAACAGAUCGUUAGUGAAAAAGUGCACUUAAUUGUACUGAACUUGCACUUAUAGUGUGCUUCAAAGAAAUAAAGAAAAAAGAAAAGAAAGCAAGAAAAAGAAAAACGCUGUAGCUACUUACAGAUAAUGUAACAUUAAUGAAAUAAAAGAAAGGGAUAAUUCACCCAAAAAUGAUUCUGUCAUCAUACUUAGUUACACACAUUCUUAAAAUAUCUUCUUUUGUGUUCAGCAGAAGAAAGAAACUAUGAUGAAAAUAAUGAAAGUAAUCCACAGCACUCCAGUCCGUCACUUAAUGUCUUGUGAAGCCAAAAGCUGUGUGUUUGUAAGAAAUAAAUCCAACGUUCAUGCAUUUUAACUUUAAACCAUCACUUCUGGCCAGAAUAUUAGUCCAUAAUCCAUAAGAACAUGUUCUUAAAUAGAGAACUAAUAAUUUAGCCCGAAGCAAUGAUUUGAAGUUUAAAAUGCUUUAAUGCUGGAUUUGUUUCAGUUUUUGUCUUCUCCAGAUGUUCACUGAUGGACUGGAGUGCUGUGGAUUACUUGUGGAUUAUUGUGAUGUUUUUAUCAGCUGUUUGGACUCUCAUUCUGACGGCACCCAUUCACUGCAGAGCAUCCAUUGAUGAGACACUGAUGCAAUGCUACAUUUCUACAAACCUGAUGAAGAAACAAACUCAUCCUGAUCUUGGAUGGCCUGAGGUCUUGUCCGGUCCUGCUGUGCGCCCUGUGAUUCAGUGCUCCAUCCUGUCCUGUCCUGUUAAUCUGAGGCUCCUCUACCUGCUGGUUUCACUCGAUUGGGGUCCAGCCUGGCCCAGUGUAUUUUUCCUUCACAUUCCUUGUUGCUGGACUUCAUCUACCUGGUUCUGCCAAUGACUCCAAGUCAUUGGAUCCUUUCUGGGUGGAUUAUUGGGGUCACCCUCAGCCUGGCUCUUACCCUCCUAUUUGACAAACAAAAGCUGUGUUCAACUUAAAGCAGCACUGCGCAGAUCGAUUGGUGUAUGACAUCAAAGUGCCAAUUCACAGAUCGGUCUGCUCAGCUCCGCUUUAAGUUGAACACACCUAAUGCGUCUACUGGAUUAACGUGCCUAUUGCUGCGUGUACUUAUUUUAUUUUCACCACCUGCAAACUCAUGAAGAGCUCAUAAAGGCACUUUACCUCCUCAUUGCUCUAUGUUUGCGCUCUGCUCAUUUUGUUUUGGGUGCACCAGUCGUUCGGUGUCAUCGUCAUUUUAAUCAAACCAAACAUGACAAGUGUGAACACACCCUUAUAGAUCUCAUUCUGAGCAAUUCGUCCAUGCAUAGCCUAUGUUUUUUGACCUUGUAAUGUGUAAUUAAAAUACCAUAACUGGAUCUUCUGGUGAACAUUUUCGAUUUAAUUAAAAAUACCUAUGUGCUGCAGCUUGCGAGUUAUGUGUUCGAGUGCAGCCCAUGACCCGCAGAGCUUCACUCUGAAACAUGCAGCACAUUUAUUUAUUAGCUGGUUAACCACCAAAAUAAAAGCAUACUUGAAUUUGAGCAGAGAUGCACUGAUCAACCAUCAGCCAUAAAUCAGAACGGGAUGGGGUUUUUUUUAUUUCAGAGUCUGUAAAAAGAGGCCAGAGAUGCAAAGAGGAGGAAAUACAUUAGCAGGCAGAGCAAGCUAACUGUUCACAAUGUGCAAAGUAUGAAUGUAUCUCUGAGGGGAACUGACUGUCUUUUGACAGUUUAAAUGGCAUUUUCCUUUCGUCUUGCCUCUGCAUAGUGCGGGGCAGUUGUGGCCUAAUGGUUUUAGAGUCGGUCUUGUAACCCAAAGGUUGCGGGCAGUAAUAUGGCUGCCCACUGCUCUGGGCCACACGUCACUUCACUUCACUUUAUUUAGUGUUUACAGCAGUAAUCAAGGAAACAAUGCAUCACUGCUGUUCCUUAAGCGCCCCCGCUGUCAGAGACUGAAUUUGAAUUUUCAUGCAGCCCAUCUGCUGUUUGGUAUGUUUUAUGUUGCUUAAUUUCACAAAGCUAAAGUCAGACCACUCUGUUUUUGCUUGAGGUUUUGAAAUUAUACAGUCUGAUUUAAAUCAAAAUAUAGGGUAAUAAAGCAACUAACCAUAUUCUACAUGCACUAUAUUUUCAUCCUUUCUUGUCUUUUGCUUAAAUAAAACACAUUAAAAAUCAGUUUUGGAUUCUGACAUGAAAAGUUAAGAUUAGUGCAUCCCUAAAUUUAUGAAUGUCUGAAAUGAAGAAAUUAAGAUUUAAAUGUUGUAGCUGUCGUUGGACAAUAAAGUUCUCUAAUU